UGGAGGUUGAGGCUCAGUCGGGUGAGCGCCCGCUUCUCAAUCAAGAGAUGCGGGUUCGAAUCCCGGCGCUGUCAUGUACCAA
rnacentral:tRNA from 1 species